GUGCCAGACUCCUACGGGAGGCAGCAGUGGGGAAUAUUGCACAAUGGGGGAAACCCUGAUGCAGCGACGCCGCGUGAGCGAUGAAGUAUUUCGGUAUGUAAAGCUCUAUCAGCAGGGAAGAAGAUGACGGUACCUGACUAAGAAGCCCCGGCUAACUACGUGCCGGCAGCCGCGGUAAUACGUAGGGGGCAAGCGUUAUCCGGAUUUACUGGGUGUAAAGGGAGCGUAGACGGCGAUGCAAGCCAGAUGUGAAAGCCCGGGGCUCAACCCCGGGACUGCAUUUGGAACUGUGUGGCUGGAGUGUCGGAGAGGCAGGCGGAAUUCCUAGUGUAGCGGUGAAAUGCGUAGAUAUCAGGAGGAACACCGGCGGCGAAGGCGGCCUGCUGGACUGCGACUGACGUUGAGGCUCGAAAGCGUGGGGAGCGAACAGGAUUAGAUACCCUCGUAA
rnacentral:rRNA from 1 species